rnacentral:tRNA from 1 species
ACUUACCUAAUAUAAUAAGUAUACUUGACUUCCAAUCAAGAAGUUUGUAUUAAACAAGGUAAGUA